rnacentral:rRNA from 1 species
UACGUAGGGGGCAAGCGUUGUCCGGAAUCAUUGGGCGUAAAGCGCGUGUAGGCGGCUCGAUAAGUCUGCUGUGAAAGUCCAAGGCUCAACCUUGGGAUGCCGGUGGAUACUGUCGAGCUCGAGUCCGGAAGAGGAGUGUGGAAUUCCUGGUGUAGCGGUGAAAUGCGCAGAUAUCAGGAAGAACACCCGUGGCGAAAGCGGCUCUCUGGAACGGUACUGACGCUGAGACGCGAAAGCGUGGGGAGCGAACAGG